rnacentral:tRNA from 1 species
AAGGUGUUAGCUCAACCGGAAGAGCGCUUGCUUGGCAGGCAAGAGGUUGCGGGUUCGAAUCCCUGCGCACCUU